GGGGAAUUAACUCAGUGGUAGAGUGCCCGCUUUGCAUGCGGGAAGUCACGGUUUCGAUCACCGUAUUCUCCA
rnacentral:tRNA from 1 species